UCUAAUUCGUUUCAAGUCUUUGGUAUCCUUUUCAUUCUUUUCUUCUUAAAGGUUUUUGGAUUCUUAAACUUUUUCUCUUUUCUAAGUCAUUAGCUUUUAGCUUUUUCGUAUUCGUUUUCCAUUCAUGAUUCACUUCUUUCUUUCUUUUUUUUUUUGUUUUAAGAUUUUUGGAUAUUAAGUCAUUUUCUCUUUCUCCAAACUCAACAAUGGGGCGGUCUGAUUCCUGAUUAUUGGAUAUUAAAUCAUUUUCUCUUUCCCCAAAUUGAACAAUGGAGGCGUCUGAUUCACAAUAACAGGGCUGGUAAUGCCAUAAAUACAAGAGUUCUUGCCUUUAAAAAUGCAUUGGCAGGCCAAAGGAAUUGGAGAGUUAUAAGUGGGGGAAGCCAAAACUUUUGACUUCAGUUUGACUGGAGCAUCAUCAAGAUCUUGCAAAUAUGUCCUAAAUACACUUAUGCAGACAUUGUGAGGUCCUUGUAUGGUGAUUUUAGAGUUUAUUCAUCAACAUGCAUAGCUUUCUUAUAUGCAAAAGAUUCCUAAAUUUUAUGAGUCUGAUACUAUGGAAAGGCUUAGAAUUUCCUAUGGAAUGAAGUACUAUGUCUGCUGUUAAAGCAUCUACAAGAUAUGCCAAAUCUUGCCUCUACAAUAGGCAACACACAUGUUUUGUGAUACUGCAAGGCUUGGAUGUCUAAAUUUUAUGAGGCUGAACAGAACUUUGGGCCAUUGAUUACUAUGGAAAAGGCAGUGGAUUUCCUUGGGAAAGAAGAAACACUACUUCUGCUUGCUAAACAGAAAUUGUCAAAUUGUAGGAGUACAUUGAGCAGGGUAUUAAUUACUUUGAAAAGGCAGUAGAUUUCUUCCAAAGCCUACCAAUGCAAAG